rnacentral:rRNA from 1 species
UCGAGAAUCUUCGGCAAUGGGCGCAAGCCUGACCGAGCGACGCCGCGUGGAGGAUGAAGGCCUUCGGGUUGUAAACUCCUGUCGAGGGGGAAGAAGGUCCCGCAAGGGACUUGACUGAUCCCUGGAGGAAGCACGGGCUAAGUUCGUGCCAGCAGCCGCGGUAAGACGAACCGUGCGAACGUUAUUCGGAAUCACUGGGCUUAAAGCGCGUGUAGGCGGAUGAGCACGUCUGUCGCUGAAAUCCCCCGGCUCAACCGGGGAACGGGCGUGGAUACGGCUUGUCUGGAGGGGCGUAGGGGGACCUGGAACUUCCGGUGGAGCGGUGAAAUGCGUUGAGAUCGGAAGGAACGCCCGUGGCGAAAGCGAGGUCCUGGACGCCUACUGACGCUGAGACGCGAAAGCCAGGGGAGCGAACG